AGCAGCCGCGGUAAUUCCAGCUCCAAUAGCGUAUAUUAAAGUUGUUGCAGUUAAAAAGCUCGUAGUUGAAUUUCGGGAUCAGCGCGUCGGUCGUGCCUCCGGUAUGCACUGGCGCCGCUGGUUUCUCCCUUCUGAGGAACCGUGAUGUCAUUAAUUUGGUGUUGCGGGAAAUCAGGACUGUUACUUUGAAAAAAUUAGAGUGUUUAAAGCGGGCACGCGCUUGAAUACAUUAGCAUGGAAUAACGAAAUAGGACGUUCGAUCUUAUUUUGUUGGUUUCUAGGAUUGACGUAAUGAUUAAUAGGGAUAGUUGGGGGCAUUAGUAUUCAAUUGUCAGAGGUGAAAUUCUUGGAUUUAUUGAAGACUAACUACUGCGAAAGCAUUUGCCAAGGAUGUUUUCAUUAAUCAAGAACGAAAGUUGGGGGAUCGAAGACGAUCAGAUACCGUCGUAGUCUUAACCAUAAACUAUGCCGACUAGGGAUCGGAUGAUGUUAAUUUUUAAUGUACUUCAUUCGGCGCCUU
rnacentral:rRNA from 1 species